rnacentral:lncRNA from 1 species
CAAUAUACACACACGAGGUAAUAUAACAAUGAGAAAUAUAUAUACAAGUAUGGCUUUAGUUCUUAUACGAAGGUUUAUCAAAUAGGCCAUAACAAGAAUAUCAUAUGGUAAAACUCGUCAGAAAAUCAAAAUGCAAUGAGCAUGAGGCUCCGUACUGUGGGAUGAUCAGUCCACACAGGUUGGUGACUCCCCCGACCAACUAGGGUUCAGAUACGAUGUGCACAAAGACUAACACUACCCUGUUAGCAUGGGUAUUCUGACUGACAUACCAUAGGUUCAUAAUCAUAAUCAAACAAACAUAUUCAUAUCUCAAAGCUCAACUCAUGACAUCCAUCAAAUGAGGAGCUAUCAAUUCAGAAGUCAAAUCAUAUUGGUUCAUAUCAAGAAAUCAGAUUCAAUAAUUGAUCAUGCUUUAUCAUAUCAAGGAUAAUAAUCAGCAUAUAUAUUAUCAAGAAGCAUGAUCCAAUUCAUAUUAACAAAUCAAAUAUUUAUAAUAUUUCUCAUGCAUAUGGAAAAUUAUCCACUCACCUGACUCAAAAGCAAACAACACACACAAGCUGAAACCGAAGGAAAUUCUACUGACGUCCUGCCGGUAGAAUAUCAGGAUUAUCUGAAUACAAAGGAGACAUAUUCAAAAAGACUCGAAAGAACAUUUAAUCUAUUUAAUACACUUAACUAAGGGUGUAUUCUAACCCUAUAUAUUAUUCAAUUUUCUUAAAAACCCAAAAUCUAACGGUUUUCCCGAAAUCUAAUCCAUAAUAAAAACAACUAAUAAAAUUGGUAAUAAUUCACUAAAUAACCCUUAAUUAUUCAUCAAACUAAUCUGCAAAAGCUAAUAUUACAGCUAGGGACUAAUCUGGAAUUUUUCCAUAUUUUUAGGGCCAAAUUGUAACUUUUGUCAAAUGGAGGACCAAACUGAAAUUUGUCAUAAAUCCAUGAAUAUACUGAAAUUCUGACCUUAAUUAAUCCUCAAUUCUGUCCAGGAUGUAUCAUUAUGCUUCAGGGAUCAUUCUGGAAUUUUACUAAAUUUUUAGGGUCAAAUCGUACUUUUUGUCAAAUUGGAGGACUAAAUUGAAAGUGAAAUUAAAUCUAUACAGUAAUUCUGUCCAUAAUUCAUAUGCUAUUCUGUUCAGAAUCUCGGAAUAUGCUCCAGGGACCAAUUUGUAAUUUUCCAAAGUUCGGGGACUAAACUGUAAUUUUCGGAAAUUGAGGGACCAAAUUGAAUUUUCGUCAUCUUCAACCUCCAGUCCAGAUUUUAACAGAAACCCCACUGUUCUCCCCUGAUUUCUAACUCAAUUUUCACCAUUUACACAAUUCUAUAACUCAAAAUCAUCAUAAUCUUCCAUAAUCAACUAAAUCAUCAAUUAAACACAACAAUCAACCCCUAACCUUCAAUUUAAUUCAUCAAUUUAAAUCAAACACAAAUUCUCAAAACCCUAACAUUCAUAAAAACUGAAAUUAAAGCUUAAUUAACAUAUUAUACACAUUAAACAACCUAAAUCUUACCUUUUUCACUUAUUUCCUCCAAAUCUCUUCCUUUUUCCCUUAUUUUCCCUUCUUUUCUCUUCUUCUUCUUUCUCUCUUCUCUCUCACGGUUCUGCUCUCUAAUUUCAGAUCACUUUCUUUUUUUUUUUUUUUUACUUCCUAUUUAUAUUUAUCAAUUUUUGUUCAAUUACCAUAAUACCCCUUAUUCAUUUAUUCCAACUUUUAAGCCUCAAGGGCUUUGUUGUAAUUCCUAUCUUAUUAAUUUCAAAACAUUACAAUCUCCCCACCUUAUAAAAGUUUCGUCCUCGAAACUUAAUAGAAAAGAUUGAGUACUUACCGAGAUUAUCGAAAAGAUGAGGAUACUCCUCACGCAUCUUAUCCUCGAGCUCCCAUGUCGCUUCCUCACGUGAAUGGCCUUUCCAUUUCACUUUCACUGAAGCUAUGUCCUUCGACCUAAGCUUCCUCACUUGUCGGUCGACUAUAGCUUCCGGUUGCACCUCAUAAACCAUAUCAUCCCUCAAGUCAAUAGGAUGAACCUCUAACACAUGCGAUGGAUCUGACAUAUAUUUCCUUAACAUGGAAACAUGAAAUACCGGAUGAAUAGCAGACAAGUUUGGUGGUAAUGCUAACCGAUAAGCAACUGCCCCAACUCUCUCCAGAAUCUCAUACGGUCCAAUGAAUCGAGGACUCAACUUGCCUUUCUUCCCAAACCUGAAUACUCCUUUUGUAGGUGAUACUUUUAAGAACACACAAUCACCCACUGAAAACUCUAAGUCACGCCUUCUUCUAUCUGCGUAACUUUUAUGUCUACUCUGAGCUGUUUGAAGCUUCUUUCUAAUUACCUCAAUCUUCUCUGAGGUAAUCUGAAUCAACUCCGGUCCCAUUAGCCUCUUCUCACCAACCUCAAACCAACAAACCGGUGAUCUACACUUCCGACCAUACAAAGCCUCAUAAGGUGCCAUCUCUAUGCUAGCCUGAUAACUGUUGUUGUAAGCAAAUUCCACUAAUGGUAGGAACUUACUCCAACCAACUCCAAAAUCCAUAACACAAGCCCUUAACAUAUCCUCCAAGGUCUGAAUAGUCCUCUCAGACUGACCAUCUGUCUGAGGGUGAAAAGCUGUACUCAACUGCACCUUAGUACCCAUAGCUUCUUGAAAUUUCACCCAAAACCGCGAUGUAAACUGUGGACCUCUAUCAGACACUAUCGAGAUUGGCACUCCAUGCAACCGUACAAUCUCACUAAUAAACAAUUCCGCCAACUUUGCAUAUCCAUAAGUAAUCUUAACUGGCAGAAAAUGGGCUGAUUUGUCAACCUGUCAACAAUCACCCAUAUCGAAUCAUAACCCUCCUGACUCCUAGGCAAUCCUGUCACAAAGUCCAUUGUGAUCCUUUCCCACUUCCAUUCUGGAAUCAACAAUGGUUGUAACAAUCCAGGAGGUUUCUGGUGUUCACCCUUUACCCUCUGACAGGUCAAACACCUAGAAACAAAAUCUGCUACAUCAGCCUUCAUCCUAUUCCACCAAUAACACACCUUAAGGUCUUUAUACAUCUUGGUGGAACCUGGAUGCAUUGUGUAAACUGUCUGAUGUGCCUCUAUCAUCAAUUCUCUCCUCAGAUCAUCAACAUCAGGUACACAAAGCCUAUCCCUAUAUCUCAGCACAUCAUCAUCACCAAUCACAAAACUUGCAGCCUUACCCUGCUCAACCUCAUUUCUAAUCCUGAGUAGUGAAUCAUCUUUCUUCUGAGCUGCUUUUAUCUUAUCAAACAAAUCUGACUUAACCUGAAAAUGAGCAAUCAUUGCUCCAGCUUCACUAAGAUCAAAUCUGACUCCUUCAUCCACUAACUCAUGCAGCUCCCUAAUCAGAGGUCUUCGUACCUCCUGAAUAUGAGCUAAGCUCCCUGAUGAUUUUCUACUCAAAGCAUCGGCAACUACAUUUGCCCUACCCGGGUGGUACUGUAUGGUACAAUCAUAAUCCUUCAGUAGUUCCAUCCAUCUCUCUGCCUCAGGUUUAGAUCCUCUGCUGAAAGAUGUAUUUCAAACUCUUGUGAUCUGUAAAGAUCUCACAAGUUUCACCAUACAAGUAGUGCCUCCAAAUCUUCAAAGCAAAAAUUACAGCCGCCAUCUCUAAAUCAUGUGUAGGAUAGUUCUGUUCAUGCUUCUUCAGCUGCCGUGAAGCAUAGGCAAUAACCUUGCCAUGCUGCAUUAGAACACAUCCUAACCCCACUCUCGAAGCAUCACAAUACACUGUGUAACCACCAGAACCUGAUGGUACUGCUAGAAUAGGCGCUGUAGUCAAUCUCUCCUUCAACUCUAAGAAACUUUUCUCACAAGCUUCAGACCACUGAAACUUAACAUUUUUCUGCGUUAACUUAGUCAAUGGUGCAGAAAUUCGAGAAAAGUUCUCCACAAACCUCCGAUAGUAGCCGGCCAAACCUAAGAAACUUCUAAUCUCUGUCGCCGAAGUAGGCCUAAGCCACUGCUUAACUGCUUCAAUCUUUUGAGGAUCAACCUCAAUCCCAUUCCUUGACACUACAUGCCCAAGAAAUGCUACACUCUCCAACCAAAACUCACUCUUUGAGAACUUGCCAUACAACUGAUGAUCUCGCAGAGUUUGAAGCACCAUUCUCAAAUGCUGCUCAUGCUCCUCUCUAGACCUCGAAUACACCAAAAUAUCAUCAAUAAAAACUAUCACAAAUCGAUCAAUAAAUUGGCCAAACACUCUAUUCAUCAAGUCCAUAAAAGCUGCUGGUGCAUUCGUCAACCCAAAAGACAUCACUAAAAACUCAUAAUGACCAUACCGAGUUCUAAAAGCUGUCUUUGAAAUGUCCUCCUCCCUAAUCCUCAACUGAUGAUACCCAGAUCGAAGAUCGAUCUUAGAAAAGAAUUGAGCUCCCUGUAACUGAUCAAACAAAUCAUCUAUACGAGGGAGUGGGUAUCUAUUUCGAACUGUCACCCGAUUCAAUUGCCUAUAAUCUAUACACAACCUCAAUGACCCAUCUUUCUUCUUCACAAACAACACCGGAGCUCCCCAAGGGGACACACUUGGUCGGAUGAACUUUUUAUCCAAUAAAUCCUGCAGCUGCUCCUUUAACUCCCUCAAUUCUGCUGGCGCCAUUCUAUAUGGUGCCAUUGAUAUUGGUUCAGUGCCCGGAACCAAAUCAAUACAAAACUCAAUCUCCCUAUACGGAGGCAAUCCAGGUAAGUCAUCGGAAACAUCGAUAAACUCUCUUACUAUAGGGACUUCCUCUAACUGGGAACUUCUUUCUCUACAUCCACUAUAUAUGCUAGGUAGCACUGUACCCCUUUUCGGGCCAUUUUCCUCAAGAUAGCCGACAACAUAAUUGAUGGAGACCCAAUCUUAUCUCCUUGAAAUACUAACCCAACUUCUUGAUCUAGAUCAAACAUUAUUUUCUUACCCCAACAAUUUACCGAAGCCCUAUGCUUAGCCAACCAAUCCAUUCCCAAAAUCACAUCAAAAUCAACCAUAUCUAAGACAUUUAAGUCUCCCAUAAAGAUCUUAUCUCCAAUCUCUAUUUCACAAUCCAGAUACACAUACUUUACUAAUAUUAACUCAUCUAAGGGAGUGGAGACUGAAAUGGGGGAUUUUAACAAGGUUGGUUGUUUAUCUAACCUCAUGACAAAAUAUAGGGACACAAACGAAUGAGUUGCACCUGUAUCAAACAAAACUUUUGCUUCAAAAGAUCAAACAGGAACAACAUGUUGAGGUGUGGAUGUAUUGCCCUACCUCCUAUACCUUGCAUUUCUAAACUUCACAAUAUGGACAUCAUCUUUAUUAUCAUUUACUCGAAUACUAUCAGUUGUUCUUCUAUUCCUCGGCAUUUCCUAAAAUAAAAGAGAGAUCACUUAAGUCAUGCUAGAACAAUAGCAUGAUAAUUAUCACAGAAUUUUAGGAAAGCAUAUCUAUCACAAGGAAGAAGACAUACUUGAUGAGAAUUUAAAAUUUCAAAAACAACAAACAAGACGAUACGGAUCCUAAUGCUCCACUUAUUAUGAAAUUAAUUAUAUUAUUGUUUCUUUAACCUAAAGCUCUGAUACCAAGUUUGUCACGACCCGAAUCCCGGAUCCAUGACCGGCACAUAGGCAAGGUUCCCCUCCAAGGUUCCAAACCUAUGCGAACCCAAACUUACAUACAAUCCUUUAAACAACUCAAUCAGAGUUUAACGCAGAAUUAACAACAAACAACUUCAUAAUAUAAUUCGAUUGUCUUAAUACAAGAGUUAAUAUCAUUUCAUAGUUUUGGAGCACUAACUUGACACAAAAGAAGGUACAAAUUACAACCAAAAGGCAGGUUCGGAAGGUUCAACAAAAGUAACCUGCUAUCAAGCUAUAAGCCUGAAAAGGAUAAAUAAUGAGAGGGUGAGUUCAACAACUCAGUGAGUAGAUAACGUUCAAUAUACACACACGAGGUAAUAUAACAAUGAGAAAUAUAUAUAUACAAGUAUGGCUUUAGUUCUUAUACGAAGGUUUAUCAAAUAGGCCAUAACAAGAAUAUCAUAUGGUAAAACUUGUCAGAAAAUCAAAAUGCAAUGAGCAUGAGGCUCCGUACUGUGGGAUGAUCAGUCCACACAGGUUGGUGACUCCCCCGACCAACUAGGGUUCAGAUACGAUGUGCACAAAGACUAACACUACCCUGUUAGCAUGGGUAUUCUGACUGACAUACCAUAGGUUCAUAAUCAUAAUCAAACAAACAUAUUCAUAUCUCAAAGCUCAACUCAUGACAUCCAUCAAAUGAGGAGCUAUCAAUUCAGAAGUCAAAUCAUAUUGGUUCAUAUCAAGAAAUCAGAUUCA